CGAGAGCAAUAGAAUCUACGAAACAAUGGUUGCUGCGUGUCCCUUACUUUUCUCUUAUCUUUACCGUUUACCGAGUAAAAGCAGGUAACAGCGCGGUAUCCUUUGUUACUGGCAACGGAGACGAGAGGAAACAGGGAGAAAAAUUGGAGGAACGAGAACCAACGACUUUCUAUCGAGUCAACAGCUUAUCGUCUCUCCUGUUUCGUACCAUUCGUACGCGCGAAAAACUCCGUUUAUUCGGACGUAUUCCUUUAUCACGAUUUUUUGGUAAUUUUAACAAGGAACUCGUUGAAUACGUUUCUUUCUUCCGUCGAGAUUAAGCACUCGAUAUAAUUGAGUUUCAAGGUUGCGACGCUCUUCUCACGCUUGUUCAAGCAACGUGCAACAUCGACGAAACUCGUAGUUGCUUCUCAGCGGGCAGCUAAUUUAACGCUUAACCCGAUGAAUAAGUGCGUAAACUGUCGCGAUAAAUCCUGCAAACAAUCGAACAACCUCGAAAACGCGCUCUUCAACGUUCAAACAUCCUGAACGUUGCCUAGUUCUCUGGAAGCACAACGAGCAACGUUUCAACAAAGAGUACAUAGGCGUAAGCCUGGCACCUCGUAAUUGGCGCUCAGUCGUACGAUCUACGAUCGCGAUGUUCGCACGCGAUAACGAUAAAUCUCGAGGAAAUAAGGUAGAAUUGGAGGCAGGGUUAACCGAGAGAGAGAAAGAGAGAGAGAGAGAGAGAGAGAGAGAGAGAGAAAGAAUGUCAUGGCACGCAUGAGUCUUAUGAAUUCUUUCACAAAACGAACAGGCCUGUCGCGCGCAGCCCGCAGGAGCGUAACAACGGUCUGCUCUUUCGUAAAUUAUUUUCUGUAGCUCUGUGGAUGUAGCGAAAAGAGAGAAAGAGACGGAGGUGGAGGACAGUUAAAAAGAAGGCGAAAAUCGGAGUACAAACAGAAUCGGAUGAGAGGUGGACUAAGGGAAUCGAGGGGCAAGGGUUUCCACGAGUGUUUAGCCUUGACAUUCGCCUCCCACAUCCUGUCAGCCGAACAGUGGUUCUCAUAUCAAGUCGAUAAUCGCGCCCAAUUGCUUCUCCUGCGAGCAAAUUUUGUCGACGUUGGAAUUUUCUAGCGAAUUGCAAGAAUUAUCGUCUCGUGCUAUUGUUAUAUCGUUCUGCGAAACGUCCCUGUCGUGUUCGAUGGCUUGGCAUGGCUUCCCUUUUCCAAUUCCUGUGUCGUUUUAUGGCAUGGAAUAAAGAGCACGUUAUUUUUUAUGGAAUCGAUUGUUCGAGGUAUGUAUUUUGGUAGAAGCGGUGUUUCCCUGGGUGGAGAGAACGUAGGUACGAAAUAAUUCAACCAUGAAACUCCGUUGUCGCAUUGUAAAUUGUUAUGGCGAUGCUGUUUGGUUAGUUUACGAAGAAUCUGAACAUUUUGUUUGUUUUAAACGUGUAAAUGUACGUAAAUGAGAACUGAUGGCAAUAAAAUAGAAUAAAAAGCAAUUUUUCUGCUUGCAGCUAGUCGGCUCAUCUUCCUCGACAAUUUCUUCAUUUGCAUAUUUUUUCUUCUGCGUUUCAGCGUUUCACCUUGACUUCCACCGGACGUUUUCCUCUUUAAAACGCCAGCAAACAUUUAUUCUCGGACGGCAGUUCUUUUCUUUCCAAAAAUGUUAAUAGAAGGAAGAGGAAUUUGCAUUACAACGAUAACAUUUUAAGAGAACGUCCUGUUUAUGAAAUAGUAAACCGCGGAGGCAAGAAAAGAUCUUGGCUGGAACAAAGUUCAGUCUCGGACUUAGUAUCGAGUCUGAAAACAUUCGCGCGCAAACUAUCGGAUAACCUCAAACAUUUCGUUUUGAAAUAUCAACCCUGUCGAUUGGUAUCGUCGAUAGUCAACGUUAUUGCACUUCAUUUCCAAUUAUUAUUUACAUAUAAUAUUAUUAUUAGAAAAUAUGAUACACGAUAUGUAACACGGAUUAAGACCAACAAAUCUUAGCUAGAAAUAACAUUUCCAAAACGAAUCAUUCGAUUCUCCGGUUCGUUGUCUCCACGUUUCUCGAUCCUCUCGAUUUCUAUUUCGAAAAUACUGAAAAUUUGAUUGCCUUUGCAGGAUAAAUUCCACGUUUCUAAAACGCUGAAAACUCGCUCUUUCUCCUUACGUAAGCCGUUAAAACGUUAAAACCAAACCUUUCUCCUUACAUAAACUGUUAAACGUAAAAAUAAAGAAUCCUAACGCGAUAAAAACAACCUUACGAAUAUACGAGGCAAACAACCGGCAAGUAGCAAGAAAAACAAAAAAAAAAAAAGAAAAAAGAAGCUGGUUGAAUAAUUACGAGGAUAGAAACGAGCAAGAUCCUCUCGAGAAACGACAAAUAAAAAAUCUCGAUUUAGAAAACAUCCGGCAACGAGAGCGAAUUAAGAACGAAUCGCGCAACGAAACACGAUCGCGAUUUCGUGGAAGAACGGUACUUUUCAGCUUGAACGUGGCCGGUCCUUAAAAGAAAACGUGCCAAGGACAGCAGCGAUCAACGACGAUUCUCUCUCUCGCUCCUUCUCUUCUCGUCUCUUGGUGGUCGAGAUCGGUCGUUUAUUAAUUUACAUGCGGACUCGGCCGAAGGCGCCAGCCGGAUGGAGAACCGGAGGAGGAUCGACGACGAUGACGCGUUUAGUCGUUGCACUACCACGCUUCUGCUCUUCCGAGUUGCUCGCCUAUAAACACCGACGUUAUCGUCGAACAAUAAAAUCAAAAUCGAACAAGGAUUGUUUCGUCCUUUUGUCCACUGCAUGUGCGCUCUGCGUCGGUAUAAGACAGCGGACUUCAAAACGAACCAACUUCUUCUCGCCUGACUGCGAUACAAUUUCGGUCGUGGAAAAUAGCCAGCCAUUGGAAAACUGUUUUUUAAAAGCAUUGUUUAUCCGACGACGCGGCGAGUUCGUGGAAUCGAGCGUUUUCUAUGGAAAAUCUCGACUCGCGGUGUGUCCGGCGCAACACAUGCUCCGAGUCGUUUAUUUCCUGGCAGCUUCUGAAAUUUAUUCAUUCACCUAACGAACGUCUUGGUACGAGCUAUGAAUAGGUAAGGGCCGGUGCUUAAGAGGCCAGAAACAAAUCGUCCCUGCCACCUCUUGCCUCCUCUUCGCCCUCUCGAGUCCUUCCACGGAAGAUGGAGAGAAAAAAGAAAGGAAGCCGAAGAAGAAAAGAAAAAAACAAAAGAUAGAAGUGGCCACGAUUCAUAUUGUAAUUUCGAAAGCAGGAUCCAUUUAUCUUGCAGGGGCGAGGGAAUUUUUACAGGAGAUUCGUUAUCCUCCGCCGUCCGGGAAUAGCAGCGGCGCGGAGGAAGAGGCAGGAGAGAAGAAAUAAAAUGGAAAAAAGAAGAGAAGAGAGAACGAAGAGACGGGGAGGGAGGAGAUCGGCGAUGAAGAAAGAAAGAAACGGCGGUGCUGCUCAUCGACUCGUGACCACAAUGAACCGUUUCCGUGAUAAUAAAACUAAACGUUGUUUAAUUUGUAUGGAGAGGCCUUGCAGCUCUUUUGUCCCGGUUGUUCCGUGGCUUUUGUGAAACGCUCGAAUACCUCGCGCUACGUUACGGUAUAAAAAUAGUGGAUAAAUCAAAAGGACAGGCAGAAAUAGAUACGACAUUGUUAAAGCCAUGUACAAAACCUAUAAAACGUAAAUUGUACGAU